CCCGUACCGUAAACCGACACAGGUGGGUGAGUGUAAGCGCACUCAGGCGCGCGAGAGAAACCUCUCUAAGGAACUCGGCACAUUAGCCUCGUAACUUCGGGAAAAGAGGUGCUCACUUCGGUGAGCCACAGUAAAUUGCGUUUAGCGACUGUUUAACAAAAACACAGCUCUCUGCAAAGUUGUUAAAACAACGUAUAGGGAGUGACAAGUGACCAAUGCGGAAAGAUUAAGAGAUCUUGUUAGCCGCAAGGCGAAGCUCGGUCUUUAAGUCCCCGUGAAUGUCGGCCGUAACUAUAACGGUCCUAAGGUAGCGAAAUUCCUUGUCGGGUAAGUUCCGACCUGCACGAAUCGUGUAACGACUGAACGACUGUCUCGGAGAGGAUCUCGGCGAAACUGUAACGGCGGUGAAGAUGCCGCCUGCCCGCAGUAGGACGGAAAGACCCUAUGCACCUUUACUGUAAGCUGGUAUUGUGUUCUGAUUAACUAUGCGUAGCGUAGGUGGGAGACUUUGAAGCGGGAGCCUCGGUUCUCGUGGAGUCGCAAUGUGAAACACCACUCUUGGCUAAUUAGGAUUCUAACCUCACUCUGUAAGCCAGAUGAGGGACAGUGCCUGCGGGUCAGUUUGACUGGGGCGGUUUCCUCCCAAAGAGUAACGGAGGAGCGCGAAGCUUGGCUCAGCAUGGUUGGCAACUAUGCGUCGAGCGUAUGGGUAGAAGCCAGGUUAACUGUGAGACCAACAAGUCGAGCAGGUGCGAAAGCAGGCCCAAAUGAUCCGACGGUUUAAUGUGGAAUUGCCGUCGCUCAACGGACAAAAGGUACGCUAGGGAUAACAGGCUGAUCGAGUCCAAGAGUUCAUAUCGACGACUCGGUUUGGCACCUCGAUGUCGGCUCAUCGCAUCCUGGGGCUGGAGAAGGUCCCAAGGGUCCGGCUGUUCGCCGGUUAAAGCGGUACGCGAGCUGGGUUCAGAACGUCGUGAGACAGUUCGGUCCUUAUCCACUGUGGGCGCAGGAAACUUGAGGGGUUCAUUCUCUAGUACGAGAGG
rnacentral:rRNA from 1 species